GAUGAACGCUAGCGGCAGGCUUAACACAUGCAAGUCGAGGGGUAUAGGUUUUCGGACCUAGAGACCGGCGCACGGGUGCGUAACGCGUAUGCAAUCUACCUUUCACAGAGGGAUAGCCCAGAGAAAUUUGGAUUAAUACCUCAUAGUAUUAUAGAAUGGCAUCAUUUUAUAAUUAAAGUCACAACGGUGAAAGAUGAGCAUGCGUCCCAUUAGCUAGUUGGUAUGGUAACGGCAUACCAAGGCUACGAUGGGUAGGGGUCCUGAGAGGGAGAUCCCCCACACUGGUACUGAGACACGGACCAGACUCCUACGGUAGGCAGCAGUGAGGAAUAUUGGUCAAUGGGCGCAAGCCUGAACCAGCCAUGCCGCGUGCAGGAUGACGGUCCUAUGGAUUGUAAACUGCUUUUGUACGGGAAGAAACACUCCUACGUGUAGGAACUUGACGGUACCGUAAGAAUAAGGAUCGGCUAACUCCGUGCCAGCCGCCGCGGUAA
rnacentral:rRNA from 1 species